CACUUUCAAAGGAUAACAGCCUUCCACUAAUUUUAGGAAUUAGCACAUCU
rnacentral:tRNA from 1 species